rnacentral:rRNA from 1 species
GUGACGAAGCGACGCCGCGUGGGUGAGGAAGGCCUUCGGGUUGUAAAGCCCUGUCAGGAGUUAAGAAAUGUAAGUGCGCUAAUAUCGCAUUUAUUUGACAAAGGCUCCAAAGGAAGCCACGGCUAACUCUGUGCCAGCAGCCGCGGUAAUACAGAGGUGGCAAGCGUUGUUCGGAAUUAUUGGGCGUAAAGAGCACGUAGGUGGGUUUGUAAGUCAGAUGUGAAAGCCUUCUGUUCAACGGAAGAAUUGCAUCUGAAACUACAAGUCUUGAGUGUAGGAGGGGAGAAUGGAACUUCUGGUGGAGCGGUGAAAUGCGUAGAUAUCAGAAGGAACGCCGGCGGCGAAAGCGAUUCUCUGGCCUAUUACUGACACUCAGUGUGCGAAAGCUAGGGGAGCAAACGGGAUUAGAUACCCCGGUAGUCCUAGCUGUAAACGAU